rnacentral:rRNA from 1 species
CCUACGGGAGGCAGCAGUGAGGAAUAUUGGUCAAUGGUCGGGAGACUGAACCAGCCAAGCCGCGUGAGGGAUGAAGGUACAGAGUAUCGUAAACCUCUUUUGUCAGGGAACAAAGGCGGGGACGUGUCCCCGGAUGAGCGUACCUGAAGAAAAAGCAUCGGCUAACUCCGUGCCAGCAGCCGCGGUAAUACGGAGGAUGCGAGCGUUAUCCGGAUUUAGUGGGUUUAAAGGGUGCGCAGGCGGUCUGUUAAGUCAGCGGUCAAAGCCCGGGGCUCAACCCCGGCCCGCCGUUGAAACUGGCAGUCUCGAGUUGGAGAGAGGUAUGCGGAAUGCGCGGUGUAGCGGUGAAAUGCAUAGAUAUCGCGCAGAACUCCGAUUGCGAAGGCAGCAUGCCGGCUCCACACUGACGCUGAGGCACGAAAGCGUGGGUAUCGAACAGGAUUAGAUACCCCAGUAGUC